AGCAGGUUAGGCCGGAGGAACAGCGCCAUGUGCUCCGGGCUCCUGGAGCUCCUGCUGCCCAUCUGGCUCUCCUGGACCCUGGGGACCCGAGGCUCUGAGCCCCGCAGUGUAAACGAUCCCGGGAACAUGUCCUUUGUGAAGGAGACGGUGGACAAGCUGUUGAAAGGCUACGACAUUCGCCUGAGACCCGACUUCGGGGGUCCCCCGGUCUGCGUGGGGAUGAACAUCGACAUCGCCAGCAUCGACAUGGUUUCCGAAGUCAACAUGAGAUGCUGGCUGCAGGAAAGGGGAACGAAGACGGUGGUCUGUGCGUUCCAGGGGUGUCUCUGCGGUUUUUCCAAGGCUGUCUCCUGGACUGGGAGACCCGGGCCCGGCACAGCCAGUCUCUGUCCGAGGUGCUGACAGG
rnacentral:sRNA from 1 species